UACGUAGGGUGCGAGCGUUGUCCGGAAUUAUUGGGCGUAAAGAGCUCGUAGGCGGUUUGUCGCGUCUGCUGUGAAAACGCGAGGCUCAACCUCGCGCCUGCAGUGGGUACGGGCAGACUAGAGUGCGGUAGGGGAGAUUGGAAUUCCUGGUGUAGCGGUGGAAUGCGCAGAUAUCAGGAAGAACACCCGUGGCGAAGGCGGCUCUCUGGGACGGUACUGGACGCUGAGACGCGAAAGCGUGGGGAGCGAACAGG
rnacentral:rRNA from 1 species